ACGUCCGUCGUGAAGAGGGAAACAACCCAGACCGCCAGCUAAGGUCCCAAAGUCAUGGUUAAGUGGGAAACGAUGUGGGAAGGCACAGACAGCCAGGAUGUUGGCUUAGAAGCAGCCAUCAUUUAAAGAAAGCGUAAUAGCUCACUGGUCGAGUCGGCCUGCGCGGAAGAUGUAACGGGGCUAAACCAUGCACCGAAGCUGCGGCAGCGACACUAUGUGUUGUUGGGUAGGG
rnacentral:rRNA from 1 species